AAGAAAUAUACAGAGUUCAGAAAGAGCCUUACAUUGGAUCCUGACUGCUAGAGAAAACAGAAUUUACAUGUAGCAAUCCGGAAAGUUUCCAAGGCAACACCAGCUUCUUAUGACAUCCCAAAGAGAGGUCACAAUUGUGGCAGGCAUGUCAAUAUUGCUGGUUAAGCCUUGAGAGGUCCUUUUUGGUUAGGAUGAGAACAUCAUGGCCUCACCUUUGGAUUCCAAAGCAGAUUCAACACAAGAGUUCUUAAAAACACAAUACUUUUAUUGGCUUCUCAUCCUUUGGCAACAGCACACUCAUAUGCAGCUUGUUGAUUUGGCUGAAUCCUUCAUUCAGGAGCUUGGUGUAGCGUUCAGUGUGGCUCCUCCUGCAGUUCUUCUUGGCUCCCAGAGGUCAGCACCAGGCAGUGCUCUCAGGAAAGCCGUGCUGAGGAGGAAACAAUGCUAUUUGGAGGGACCCCCCAUAUCCAUAUAAGGCCUGCCAGAUUCUCUCCACCAACUAGUUUUUCCCAAGAGUUUGGUGCUGUUCAAGGGAAACAUAACUCUCCAGGAGGCAAGGGGGAUCAG
rnacentral:lncRNA from 1 species